rnacentral:lncRNA from 1 species
CCAACUAUAGCACAGCCAGAGACUCUUGAUCCUGAGUAAGGUAAUUAUUACAAAGACGAUAACACUUGUUAGUUUGAUGCUGCAAUGAGUGGCAAUGCACAAUGAGACAGGUACAGAUCCUGCCUGUGGGUCGCCGCUGUACUGCCAAGAGAUUGGCUGGCGCUAAUGAAAGGCACCAACGGCGAAUAUAUUUGAGGUGGAACCAUUCUGUUUAUUCAUGCAAGCAGCUAACCGCGGUCUAUGUGAGCGAGGUAGUUCGACUGUGCAAGCAUGGCAGUCCAGCAGCCAAGCUGGCUAAGUCGUAUUCAUUUCUUUAACUUUAUGUCCGUGUAUAUUUUGCAUUUUUGUGUUAUGUUGUGUUCAUUGUUCAUUUCUUCUCUUCCGUCAGCGGUUGCUCCAGAUCCGUGGUCAAGGUUGGAUAUUACUUGUGCUGGGCUAAAUAGCAUCAAGUUCAAAUCCUUUCCAGACUGCUUAUGCACACAGUCGCUUGACUACUUUCGCUGUACAUUCGAAAAUGGGAAGUCCAUUUGCUUCCAGAGGGGAUUUCCACGUUUAAAUUGGCUUGAUUCCUACAGAAUUAGGAUAAUGGCUUCUUAUGACUGGAUAGUUCGAUGUAAACAGCUUUCUCCGGCUCCCUAAGGGAGUGCCAUGCACUUUCCGGUCCACUAUGAAGGGUCGAACUUCACCUGGCUAUACAUUCAAAAUUGAGAAGUCCAUUUGUUUUCGUUGGGAGCUUGUGUUACUAGGAGCAUGAGAGCCUGGGGGUGUGGGAGCCUGAGGGCCUGGGAGCCUGGGGGACCUGGGAGCCUGGGGGCCUGGGAGCUUGGGAGCUUGUUAGGCUGGGGGCCUGGGAGCUUGGGAGCUUGUUAGGCUGGGGUCCUGGGAGCCUGGGAGUUUGGGAACCUGGAAGCCUGGGGAGCCUGGGAGCCUGGGAGCCUGGGAGCUUGGGAGUCUGGGGGCCUGGGGGCCUGGGAGCCUGGGGGCCUGGGGGCCUGGGAGCCUGGGGGCCUGGGAGCUUGGGAGCCUGGGGGCCUGGAAGCCUGGGGACCUGGGAGCCUGGGGUCCUGGGAGCCUGGGGACCUGGGAGCCUGAAAGCUUGGGAGCCUGGGGGCCUGGGAGCUUGGGAGCCUGGGGGCCUGGGAGCCUGGGAGCUUGGGAGCCUGGGGGCCUGGGGGCCUGAGAGCCUGGGAGCCUGGGGGCCUGGGAGCCUGGGGACCUGGGAACCUGGGAGCCUGGGAGCUUGGGAGCCUGGGGGCCUGGGAGCCUGGGAGCCUGGGGGCCUGGGAGCCUGGGGGCCUGAAAGCCCGGGGGCCUGGGAGCCCAGGGUCCUGGGAGCCUGGGAGCUUGGGGACCUGGGGGCCUGGGUACCUGGGGGCCUCGGAUCUUGGGAGCCUGGGGGCCUGGGAGCCUGGGAGCUUGGGAGCCUGGGAGCCUGGGGGCCUGGGAGCCUGGAGNNNNNNNNNNNNNNNNNNNNNNNNNNNNNNNNNNNNNNNNNNNNNNNNNNUGUCGACAAGCAUGCAAAAGGUCCUGAUUCCUCAGCACUAGCUUCCACCGUCGCACGCUAGACCGGUUCGCGAGCAGCCCACACCGUCGGCGCUGCAGCUGCCCACAACAGACUUCCAUGCCCCGUCGGCGUCGGUGGUGAAGCCACCCGCAUCAGACCGGCAUGCCCCGUCGGCACCAGAGCCGCAGGCAGAACUUCAUCGUUUUCAUCAUUACUUUCAGGUCUUAGGUGUUAUCAUUACCAAAAUUUUAUCGAACUUCAUUGUUACUUGAGGUCUUAGGUGUUACGGACUGUGAGGGUGUUCCACUUCCAACUUCAAUUUAAAGGAAACAGAAAAUAUAAAUUUGCUCAUUUCAUUUUUCAUUUGCGCGUACAUGUGUGUGUGUCUCCAUGUGUCUCAAAGCAACCCAAACAUAGCGAAGACCGGUCGCGCGCGUCGGCCUGACAGCUCAAAACGCUGGCUAUGGUCAUACUUUAUCACUAGGACAUGAUUGGGGGCGUCGAGCAACACCUUUUCGGUCCAAAUUCGGCGGGUCCGGUUCCGGUCCAGUGGCCGGUCGCAAAGGCUGUCGUACCCGGUCCGGCUGGCGGGGCUAACCAUAGUUAGAGAGUAGGGUCGGGCUGGAGCCAACUAUAGCACAGCCAGAGACUCUUGAUCCUGAGUAAGGUAAUUAUUACAAAGACGAUAACACUUGUUAGUUUGAUGCUGCAAUGAGUGGCAAUGCACAAUGAGACAGGUACAGAUCCUGCCUGUGGGUCGCCGCUGUACUGCCAAGAGAUUGGCUGGCGCUAAUGAAAGGCACCAACGGCGAAUAUAUUUGAGGUGGAACCAUUCUGUUUAUUCAUGCAAGCAGCUAACCGCGGUCUAUGUGAGCGAGGUAGUUCGACUGUGCAAGCAUGGCAGUCCAGCAGCCAAGCUGGCUAAGUCGUAUUCAUUUCUUUAACUUUAUGUCCGUGUAUAUUUUGCAUUUUUGUGUUAUGUUGUGUUCAUUGUUCAUUUCUUCUCUUCCGUCAGCGGUUGCUCCAGAUCCGUGGUCAAGGUUGGAUAUUACUUGUGCUGGGCUAAAUAGCAUCAAGUUCAAAUCCUUUCCAGACUGCUUAUGC